rnacentral:misc_RNA from 1 species
CGAGUUUGUUCAAUGGGUGAAACACAUAAAAUUUGUGUCUAUUAUGAUUAUACUUUCACUAGAGCAUAGCCAACAAACGAAUCCGAACUAAAUCCAUCAACAAUAGCCGCAACAAUAUUCUAAGCCUUGCUUCCCAUAAGCGUAAGCUCCAGGUCGAUGCGGUGUAGACGAGCCCCAGGAGCAAACCGUUGUUUCUCGUUUCUUGGUUGGAAAGGGCAGAGUUCCAUUUGGUGGGUGGGUCUAGGGCGAACGAAAGAGACGUGUGGCUGAGGGCAGGUGAGGCAUUGUGUCAAAACUAGUGGCAGUUGAUGUAACAAAAUCAUAAGUUAUCAAGAUGAAGAUUAGCUCUUUUUGCUCUCCAAUGGCGGGGCAAAGUGCAAAUGGCCUGCAAAGAUGAGCCAUUGUCAGAGAAUAUGGCAUUAAAGAGGACAAGAUCGGGUUUUGGGAUGGAUAAGAAGAUAAAACCUGCGUGAGAAGUGGAGUUGAAGUCGAAGAGCUUGUGGUUGUACUUGUG